ACGGGGGUUGCGAGCGUUGUCCGGAAUUACUAGGCGUAAAGGGCAGGCAGGCGGAUCCAUAAGUUUUUCGUUUAAGGCGUCAGCUUAACUGGCGUACGGCGGGAGAUACUGUGGAUCUGGAAUGCGGUUGGGGAAGACAGAAUUCCUGGUGUAGCGGUGUAAUGCGCAGAUAUCAGGAGGAAUACCGAAGGCGAAGGCAGUUUUACGAGCCGUCAUUGACGCUGAAGUGCGAAGGUGUGGGUAUCGAACAG
rnacentral:rRNA from 1 species